UAGUCUGUGAUCAGGCGUUAAUUCUGUCUCGUAACCACAGCAUUAUAUUUGAAGAACCACACUGAUUGCGGCAAAAUCAGAUAGUCAAAUGUUAGUAGUUAAUUCCUUUUUGUCUGAUGAUUAAUUGGCAUUUGGACAUAUUUUCAGAAAUGCCGCAUGAAAAUUUAUUGACGAUAUUUUAUCGGCCAAAUUGGUUGUUGAAUGCCGGCAGAUUCCUCGCCAAGUAAGCCCUCAUAUCAAAAAUUGUGGUUAUGUCGUUCAAUUGGAGUUUAAUGUUGCAAUGCAAUGCAACGGGAAACUGAUGCAGCUGGUGCUUACUGCAAGACGAACGCCCCUACAAUUUCAUUUAUACUCAAACGAUCAACCUUAAAGGCUAACACAUAUAUCACAAAACAAAACUAUAUAUAAAUCGCCGCACGCGGAACUAAAACGUAAACUUCGAAGCAAAAACACAUCGAAAUUAACCUAUAACAAUGGCACUAAACGGAAAAAAGAUUCGAUGCGACGCGUGCAGCCCGACGAGCCCCGAAAAUAAAACGCGGAAACGUACAGGGUGUUUCACAUAAGCCGACCCAUAUAUUCUGUAAUAGUUGUCGAGAAAAUUUAAAUAAAAGUCCUUUGUGUUUAUGAAAAUUUUUAGAUUAUCCAAUUUUGGGAGAUCCAAUUUUCUUGGUAUCCACAUCAAUCAUGGAAUUUUAUGUUGAAUACGGAACACAAACGUAACUUACAUUAGACGGAUCUAUUUGAUUUCUGCUCAGCUUAGCAAAUAUUUAAGGUUAUGUAGAUUGUUAUUGAAAAUAUUUGCAAAAUCCAGACCUAUAAUAUCAAAAAAAAAACAUAAAAAGCAAUUCAUCCAAUGAUGUCCAAGAAAAGGGGUCACGGUAUUGCUUUGCGUGUAACAAAUCAGAACAAUUAGAUAUACGAAGCUGUGUGUCUUGUGGCACUUGGUUGUCUUCACAAAACACGACAAGGACGACCAUAUCUGCUUAUUUUUUCUCGCAAAGAGUUUAAUUUGCGUUAUUUUGUUGUUUUAUUUAUUUCGAAAACGUAUGUUUUAUGCAACCUUGGCAUUUUAAGAUUUAUAACUGUUUAUAUAAAAAAUAACUAAAUGUACACUACCCAUUUUAGCCUUGUUUUAGGUGGGCCUAAUUUUUUUGUGGGCUUUAUUAACCGAAUGUUGGGAUAAGAAAGCCCAAUGACAGUUUUUUGUGUAAAAUGUUUCAUAUGCCUUUGAGACUGAACGUGUAUGGUCUGCUCAUAGAUAUGAGAAAUUGACCAAAUGCUUUUGAACGGAUUAUGCAAAGGUGGUCGUUAACAUACAAUAC